CAUACAAGUCAACACCCUCUCAUUUUGUGACUUAGCACGCACGCCACCGCCUCCGCGACCUCGCCGCCUCGCGCCCCUGGCUUUUCCCUUCAACCAUCAUCCACCAUUGUCGCUGCCGUUUCAACCAUCAUGGCUAUUCGAAGAGUCCCUCCUGAGCUCUCACACAGUCACACUGCCACCCUCUCACUCCCUCGCUCCGCCUCUCUCCGCGGCGCAUGCAUCAUUCAUCAGCUUCCCCCCUUGAUGGCCCUGUUCUCAAUCCAUCCACUACAAUGCCUUGAGCAAGAACCAAUCCGAUUUGUCAUCAUCAAGCCAUGUGAAGAAGAAAGAAGAAAGCAACAAAAAACAUAAAGAUGAAUUGUCAUCAGAGACCAAAUUCAUUACAUCCAUAGCGUUCUGUGAUACCGACAUGGUGUCCAUUUGUUAAGUUUAAAAUAGCAGAGUUUGUCACCUCCAACAAGCUUCCCCUGGGAUUCUUGAGCAGAGCAUCUGGGAGCACAAAUGUGAACAAAAAAUCCAUGUUUGUAUCGCAUUUAUCUUCUCUCCUCUGAAAUGCAAAAAUUAUUCUUUUUUGAUUACAUAUUUUAUUAUCUCAAGACACAAUUACAGGCAACAGCCAUGACUGAUAAAAUUCAGAUAAUAAAUCAUUGAACAACUUAAGAAUAUAGAUAUUUCUACCUUUAGCAUCUCUUUGUUUUAAACUCUACUGUUUAAAUAAAACUACGAAUGAAAAGGUUCUUUGUGCCAAGUUGCUCCAAGUAGAUCUUGCUGGAUCAGGACGAGCUAGAAGAACAGAAUUUGAUGGUCUGAGUUUUAAGGCAGAACUUUGUGCGCGUGCUGUGCUGGUGGUUCUACUGAGGAAGUUCAGAGCACCAUCCAAGUGUUGUGGUAUUCUUCAUUUCAUUCAUGAGAAAGAGUAUAAAUGAGGGAAGCCGAGAUCCAAUGGAGAAAAUCUUGGGAGAUGUUAACUAUCGAUCGUGAAGCCCACAAAGUAGAUCGUCAACAACGUGAAGAGGAUUCUCAAAAGUUCGAAUUACGCUUUCAACGAUUGUAGACAAUGUUGGACAGCAUGAUGAAACUUGAUGAAGAAGAAUAACCAAAAGAAAAUGAAGUCUUACCGGGGUAAAAGGAACUUAUUCAAUGAAGGAAAAAAGAAACCGUUCAACCCAGGGAAGAGAAGAAGCAAUGGGAAAAUAGAGAGGGUGUUCUAGGUUUAAAUGAAAUGAGAGAAAGGUGUUUCCCAAUAGAAGAUACAAAGAAAGAAGGGAGUUUCAUGGGAAGUGGUCUGAUAUGGGCUUAUUGAUUAGUUGGGCUUAUCAGCCUAAUGUAAAUAUGGGUCACGCAACCCAUGGUCCGGGCGGACCGAAACUCAAUCUAUAACUAUCAGACACCACCCAAGCGGUGGGGGAUCUAACUUUUCAAGCAUUUUCUCUUUUUGUUGAUUUUGCAUUCCUUUCUUUCUAAAUCGAUUAGCCCAAGAGGACCGUUCCAUACCGGAACAUUGGCGCCCACCGUGGGGCUUCUGUAAAAUAAAUCCCCACUACCAUGAACAAGAGGCUAUGUGAUUUCUGCUUCUGAGAGAGGAGGGCGAACGAAAUUGAAAAAGAAAAUGUUCAGCCCAUCCCAAAUAGCAGUGGAAAAGAAAAAUGAAGACCUGCGAAGUUGAUAGCGUUGAUACACCAUCCAUUUUUUCAGAAACCGUCAUCAUGACUAAGCCUGUUGGCGAACUUGAUGCCACUCGCAUUCUCUCUCUUUCUCUGAUAUUUAAUAUGGUUUUUUGAUCCUCUUGGAAAGUUUUUCUUAUGGGCUUUCCAACCCUCAUUGUUCUCUUUUUAGCAGUGAUUUAUUUCGUAUUUGAUCUGUGAGUUCAUUUGUGAAAAUGAGGACCUUGAAAGGAAAUUGGAGAAGAAUUGCUUCUGGAUCACGGAUCUGCUUCGCCGCUUAAACAACAUCAGUAAACAGAUCGAGGAAAGGGAGGGCAAGCGGCGAACGGUUACCAGCUAAGGUGAAAAAGAGAAGGGCGAUCAAGAAGAAGAAACUGCACAACCGCCACUUAAGAGAUGAAGCCACCACUUCUGAGUCGAAACCGCCCACUCAAUAUCAACCGCCAACUCUCAAUUUAAAAGAUUAUUUUGUCUCAACUGCCACUAAGAAGUUGCAAGCACUCAUGCUGUCUCAACCGUCACUCUGAUCGAAAUCGUCCAUGUUCGCCCAUGAGUUACAUCAAUCCAAAUGGAUUCAGGACCACUCUAAAAACGGAUACGGAUCCUCGUUCCUUUAAAUUUUUCUUAUACCUUCUGUUCAGUUUUGAUUCUAUUAGUUUUGUACUUUGAUUACCAAUAGCUGGAAAUUAAUUUCGUUACUCUCUUCUGUGUUUGAUUCAACAUGGAAAAAUUGGAUCAGAUCAAGAAGAAAUUGUGGCGAAUCGGUUUGGCACGCAAACUGUUCGAUGGAAUUGGUGAACGAUUUCUGCACUUCAACUUUGCAUAUGAGGCAAUCUCAACACGUUUGCUGCGGCGAUGGAGUUAUGGCGAACACGCUUGCUGCGGGGACGUUGUUCCGGCGAGCAAGUUUUUGCUUUUGGCGGUUGAAGCUCGGCGAGCAAGGGUCGCCGACGUUGAAGUUCAGCGGCGAGCAAGUUGUCGCCGGUGUUCAAAUUCGGCGAGCAAAUGUCACCUAUGGUUCAGAUUGACGAGAGGAUCCUUUUGAACGUGAACCUAGUCUAUGGCGGUGGCGAACACGAUGCGGGAAACCAAGAAAAUUCAAGCAUUUUGUUUAGGAUCGCCCAAAGCAGAUUCUGGCUUUUUUGGAUUAUUUCUUUGUGUUUUGUUUCCUACUCUCCUUUGAUUGUUUUUGCUUUAAGACUGAUAUCUCCAUUUUUCUCAUGGCAUAUGGUGGACCACGCUUGAUGGAGCGAGGCAAUGGAAAAUCAGAGUUGCAUACUAACUGUUUGACAAAAUCGGUGAACGAUUUCUGCAUUUCAGUUUUGCAUAUGAUAAUAAAAGAUCAACUCAAACUCAACUCCCUGCUGCGCCUGCAAUUUCUACUGGUUUAUUCUUUCCAGACCUUAUCAGAUUGGCUCUCAUUUUCUUUCAUGAUUCUAUUUUGGUUUUAUUACCUGCUAUAUGCUUGAUAAAUCUCCUAUGUGAAUUUCAAGAAACAAAAGCCAGAUGGGUGACAAUUUAAUCCUUUGAGCCUAAUUCCUAGUGAAUCUAUUUCUGUUUAUGAUUGCCCUAUAUUGGUUUGGUGAAUGCAUAUGCCGCAAGUUUGCUUUGAAAAUAACCUGCAUAAUUAAAAUUUUGGUUCCAAUAUCUAGUCCAAGUUUGCUUCUUGAUUAAAACACUGUCUCUGCAUAAUCUGCCAGUUUGCUUGUUUGCUUUUUGCCAGUUUAUGUAGCAGAUAGUGCUCUGUUUUCUUAUCAUGUGGUUUUUGUUCAUAAGCAUGCCUGCUAUCUGGUUCAUUCCUUGCCCAUUUGAGUAGUUUAAAUAUGAACCUGCACUUAUUUGCAUCCGAACAUGAAACUUGGCAGUUAACUUCUUAAUUAGAGGUGUUUGAUUUUAUAACUAUUUCUUUCUCAUGUGAUCUGGUUAUUAUGAGGGAUAAGGCGUUGAGUUUUGAAAUGUGUAUCAAGUAUAAUCAUAUGUUUUGGUGCUGGUUUGGAACUUAGUUUACUACAACUAAUUAAUUUAUUUGAGUCCUCAAAGAAUAUGUUGAUUUAAUGAUGACCUACUUGUUUGUAUGAAUCUGUAUGUUACCUUCUAUUUCUUCACCGGCAUGUAAUAAUUCUGGUUUAAGUUUUCUUUUGUGUUGCAUGGCAUAAGUCUCUAGUUUAUUCUAUUCUAAUUAAGCCUUGCAAUCUGUCCUCAUACUGUUGCAUCUUCUUACCAUUUUUAUUUGUUUCAUGAGCUCCACUUGAAAUUUGAGGGCCAAAACUCUCCACCUUAAAGAAGGGGCAUCGGAGUUGGCAGCAACUAAUCUAGAAGCUGGUCACAUUUUGAGGAAUGCAUGAAAUCUGGAGCUGAGAUAACGCAUUGGGUGAUGAGUUGAUUAAAAACAGUCAAAGCAUAAAACAUUAUGUACAGAAAAAGAAAGGAGCAACAGGUAUGCACUCUUUUCUCUACCCCAGGCGGGAGAGUUUUUAACGAGGCAUAACUUUUUAAAAAUGUUCAAGGGCGUAACAUUUUAUUUGUUCCCAUGGCGGAAACAUAUCAACUAAGGUCUAUCAAUUGGGCGACGUCAGACAAUUGAGAAAGAGUAAGUCUCUUAAAACAAGAGCAUUUUACCACGAAUUCAUAAGCACAACCUUAAAUUGGAUUUAAGCUUGUCCAAACUAAGCACAAGUCUCCACGCGAGCAUAUAAUGAAAUCAAAUAUUGUGACUUUGAUUUCCAUAAAUAACUAAGUCAAGAAAUGAGAAAUUUUGACUAAGUUAUAUACACAAAGGCCUUAUGAUUCCAAAGUAGUUGAUUGAGAUAAAACUCUACAAAAUCUAUGAGAUUUGCUUCACAGUUAUUUUACUAUAUACAGUAAAGAAAGGCGGGAUGAUUCUGAUGAAAAGUCGUAUUCGAACUCUUUAGUUGAGCGAUAUUAAACAAUAUCGUCUUUUGGGCGAUAUUAAACAAUAUCGUUUUUUAUGAUAAAGUUCAUCUUACAAAGAAUACACUACACUGAGCAUAGAUGAAUGUGCAAGCGAUGUGAAGUAAGUGUGUUCCAUAUUAUUGAUUUACAUUUAAGUCUUUAACUGUUCCAUAUUAUUGAUUUACAUUUAAGUCUUUAACUUUUAUUUUGUUCAAGUUUCAAAUUAUUGUGCAUUAUUACU